rnacentral:rRNA from 1 species
GACGAACGCUGGCGGCGCGCCUAACACAUGCAAGUCGAACGAGCGAGAGAGAGCUUGCUUUCUCAAGCGAGUGGCGAACGGGUGAGUAACGCGUGAGGAACCUGCCUCAAAGAGGGGGACAACAGUUGGAAACGACUGCUAAUACCGCAUAAGCCCACAGGUCGGCAUCGACCAGAGGGAAAAGGAGCAAUCCGCUUUGAGAUGGCCUCGCGUCCGAUUAGCUAGUUGGUGAGGUAACGGCCCACCAAGGCAACGAUCGGUAGCCGGACUGAGAGGUUGAACGGCCACAUUGGGACUGAGACACGGACCAGACUCCGACGGGAGGCAGCAGUGGGGAAUAUUGCACAAUGGGGGAAAACCUGAUGAAGCGACGCCGCGUGGAGGAAGAAGGUCUUCGGAUUGUAAACUCCUGUUGUUGAGGAAGAUAAUGACGGUACUCAACAAGGAAGAGACGGCUAACUACGUG